UGGGGAAUCUUGGGCAAUGGGCGAAAGCCUGACCCAGCAACGCCGCGUGGGUGAUGAAGGCCCUCGGGUCGUAAAGCCCUGUCGGAAGGAAAGAACACUCCCGGGGUAAAUAAUCUCGGGAGUUGACGGUACCUUCAAAGGAAGCACCGGCUAACUCCGUGCCAGCAGCCGCGGUAAGACGGAGGGUGCUAGCGUUGUUCGGAAUCAUUGGGCGUAAAGGGCGUGUAGGCGGUUUGCUAAGUCAUGCGUGAAAGCCCUCGGCUUAACUGAGGAAGGGCGUAUGAUACUGGUGAGCUAGAGUGCGGAAGAGGGGGGUGGAAUUCCAGGUGUAGCGGUGAAAUGCGUAGAUAUCUGGAGGAACACCGGUGGCGAAGGCGACCCCCUGGUCCGACACUGACGCUGAGACGCGAAAGCGUGGGUAGCAAACAGGAUUAGAUACCCCCGUAGUCC
rnacentral:rRNA from 1 species